rnacentral:ncRNA from 1 species
CGUGGUUCCAUCAACCGAUUAAAAGGGAAUGGGGUGAGAAUCCCCAACUGUCCCGCAGCUGUAAGUUGCCCUUUAAGGGUGCAAGCAUUUAGGUCACUGAUAUUCUCGGGAAGACAGCUUGCAAACCGGCAACAAGUCAGAAGACCUGCCACGAUA